rnacentral:rRNA from 1 species
AGUGAACGCUGGCGGUAGGCCUAACACAUGCAAGUCGAACGGCAGCACAGUAAGAGCUUGCUCUUACGGGUGGCGAGUGGCGGACGGGUGAGGAAUACAUCGGAAUCUACUUUUUCGUGGGGGAUAACGUAGGGAAACUUACGCUAAUACCGCAUACGACCUACGGGUGAAAGCAGGGGAUCUUCGGACCUUGCGCGAGUGAAUGAGCCGAUGUCGGAUUAGCUAGUUGGCGGGGUAAAGGCCCACCAAGGCGACGAUCCGUAGCUGGUCUGAGAGGAUGAUCCGCCGCACUGCAAAUGAGACACGGUCCAGACUCCUACGGGAGGCAGCAGUGGGGAAUAUUGGACAAUGGGCGCAAGCCUGAUCCAGCCAUACCGCGUGGGUGAAGAAGGCCUUCGGGUUGUAAAGCCCUUUUGUUGGGAAAGAAAAGCAGCAGGUUAAUACCCCGCUGUUCUGACGGUACCCAAAGAAUAAGCACCGGCUAACUUCGU